AGUGAACGCUGGCGGUAGGCCUAACACAUGCAAGUCGAACGGCAGCACAGUAAGAGCUUGCUCUUACGGGUGGCGAGUGGCGGACGGGUGAGGAAUACAUCGGAAUCUACUUUUUCGUGGGGGAUAACGUAGGGAAACUUACGCUAAUACCGCAUACGACCUACGGGUGAAAGCAGGGGAUCUUUGGACCUUGCGCGAUUGAAUGAGCCGAUGUCGGAUUAGCUAGUUGGCGGGGUAAAGGCCCACCAAGGCGACGAUCCGUAGCUGGUCUGAGAGGAGGAUCAGCCACACUGGAACGGAGACACGGUCCAGACUCCUACGGGGGGCAGCAGUGGGGAAUAUUGGACAAUGGGCGCAAGCCUGAUCCAGCCAUACCGCGUGGGUGAAGAAGGCCUUCGGGUUGUAAAGCCCUUUUGUUGGGAAAGAAAAGCAGCAGGUUAAUACCCCGCUGUUCUGACGGUACCCAAAGAAUAAGCACCGGCUAACUUCGUG
rnacentral:rRNA from 1 species